GGCAGCGGGGCGCCCACGGGCGGAAAGAUGCUGGUCAGAGCAUGGAUACCGCACGGUCUGUAAAUCCGUCGGCUUAGCCUACCCAGGUUCGAAUCCUGGCGCCGCCA
rnacentral:tRNA from 1 species